GGUUUUAUACUUUAAUAAAAAGGACUGCUUUGCGAGUAGAAGAUGAGGUACUCUCUAAAACCA
rnacentral:tRNA from 1 species